GAUGAACGCUGGCGGCGUGCCUAAUACAUGCAAGUCGAGCGAACGGACGAGAAGCUUGCUUCUCUGAUGUUAGCGGCGGACGGGUGAGUAACACGUGGAUAACCUACCUAUAAGACUGGGAUAACUUCGGGAAACCGUAGCUAAUACCGGAUAAUAUUUUGAACCGCAUGGUUCAAAAGUGAAAGACGGUCUUGCUGUCACUUAUAGAUGGAUCCGCGCUGCAUUAGCUAGUUGGUAAGGUAACGGCUUACCAAGGCAACGAUGCAUAGCCGACCUGAGAGGGUGAUCGGCCACACUGGAUCUGAGACACGGUCCAGACUCCUACGGGAGGCAGCAGUAGGGAAUCUUCCGCAAUGGGCGAAAGCCUGACGGAGCAACGCCGCGUGAGUGAUGAAGGUCUUCGGAUCGUAAAACUCUGUUAUUAGGGAAGAACAUAUGUGUAAGUAACUGUGCACAUCUUGACGGUACCUAAUCAGAAAGCCACGGCUAACUACGUG
rnacentral:rRNA from 1 species